UACGUAGGGGGCAAGCGUUAUCCGGAUUUACUGGGUGUAAAGGGAGCGUAGACGGCCAGACAAGUCUGAAGUGAAAAUCCAGCGCUUAACGCUGGAAGUGCUUUGGAAACUGCCGGGCUGGAGUGCAGGAGGGGCAGGCGGAAUUUCUAGUGUAGCGGUGAAAUGCGUAGAUAUUAGGAGGAACACCAGUGGCGAAGGCGGCCUGCUGGACUGCAACUGACGUUGAGGCUCGAAGGCGUGGGGAGCAAACAGG
rnacentral:rRNA from 1 species